CGCUGUUGCCUUUGCAGUUGCU
rnacentral:miRNA from 1 species